CUUCGGGGUACACGAGUGGCGAACGGGUGAGUAACGCGUGAGUAACCUGCCCUUGACUCUGGGAUAACAGAUGGAAACGUCUGCUAAUACCGGAUACUCAGCCUUGUGGGCAUCCACAGGGUUGGAAAGCUCCGGCGGUCAAGGAUGGACUCGCGUCCUAUCAGCUAGUUGGUGGGGUAAUGGCCUACCAAGGCGACGACGGGUAGCCGGCCUGAGAGGGCGACCGGCCACAUUGGGACUGAGAUACGGCCCAGACUCCUACGGGAGGCAGCAGUGGGGAAUAUUGCACAAUGGGCGCAAGCCUGAUGCAGCAACGCCGCGUGCGGGAUGACGGCCUUCGGGUUGUAAACCGCUUUCAGCAGGGACGAAGCGCAAGUGACGGUACCUGCAGAAGAAGCACCGGCUAACUACGUGCCAGCAGCCGCGGUGAUACGUAGGGUGCGAGCGUUGUCCGGAUUUAUUGGGCGUAAAGAGCUUGUAGGCGGUUAGUCGCGUCGUAAGUGCAAACCCAGGGCUUAACCCUGAGCCUGCUUUCGAUACGGGCUGACUAGAGGAAGGUAGGGGAGAAUGGAAUUCCCGGUGGAGCGGUGGAAUGCGCAGAUAUCGGGAGGAACACCAGUGGCGAAGGCGGUUCUCUGGACCUUUCCUGACGCUGAGAAGCGAAAGCGUGGGGAGCAAACAGGCUUAGAUACCCUGGUAGUCCACGCCGUAAACGGUGGGUACUAGGUGGUGGGGGACAUUCCACGUUCUCUGUGCCGUAGCUAACGCAUUAAGUAUUCCGCCUGGGGGAGUACGGUCGCAAGAUUAAAACUCAAAGGGAAUUGACGGGGACCCGCACAAGCGGUGGGAGCAUGUGGCUUAAAUUCGAUGC
rnacentral:rRNA from 1 species